rnacentral:rRNA from 1 species
GACAGAGGUGCCAAGCGUUAGGCGGAAUCACUGGGCUUAAAGCGUGUGUAGGCGGAUCGUUAAGUACCUUGUGAAGUCCCACGGCUCAACCGUGGAACUGCUGGGUAUACUGGCGAUCUUGAGCCACCUAGGGGCGAGCGGAACAAACGGUGGAGCGGUGAAAUGCGUAGAUAUCGUUUGGAACGCCAACGGUGAAAACAGCUCGCUGGGGGUGUGCUGACGCUGAGACACGAAAGCCAGGGGAGCGAACGGG